GAUGAACGCUGGCGGCGUGCCUAAUACAUGCAAGUCGAGCGAACAGUCGAGGAGCUUGCUCCUCUGACGUUAGCGGCGGACGGGUGAGUAACACGUGGAUAACCUACCUAUAAGACUGGGAUAACUUCGGGAAACCGGAGCUAAUACCGGAUAAUAUAUUGAACCGCAUGGUUCAAUAGUGAAAGACGGUUUUGCUGUCACUUAUAGAUGGAUCCGCGCCGCAUUAGCUAGUUGGUAAGGUAACGGCUUACCAAGGCGACGAUGCGUAGCCGACCUGAGAGGGUGAUCGGCCACACUGGAACUGAGACACGGUCCAGACUCCUACGGGAGGCAGCAGUAGGGAAUCUUCCGCAAUGGGCGAAAGCCUGACGGAGCAACGCCGCGUGAGUGAUGAAGGUCUUCGGAUCGUAAAACUCUGUUAUUAGGGAAGAACAAAUGUGUAAGUAACUAUGCACGUCUUGACGGUACCUAAUCAGAAAGCCACGGCUAACUACGUG
rnacentral:rRNA from 1 species